GGAGGGAUGGCUGAGCGGUCUAAAGCACUGGUCUUGAAAACCAGAGAAGGAUUUCCUUCCCAGGGUUCGAAUCCCUGUCCCUCCGCCA
rnacentral:tRNA from 1 species